rnacentral:lncRNA from 1 species
CUAGCCGGAAGCUCUCCUAUCUUCCAGCAGGAGCGAGGAGCCCUGUGGAGGUGACACUGGGCGCCUUAGAGGAGAGAGCUGCGUGAUGUAUCACCACUCACCAGCCCUUGCCGGAGACCUGUUUAGAGUGAGAUUACAGUCUCAGCAGAGCCUCUCAUUUCUCCUGGUCACGGGGUUACAGAGCACUUUACAACUUGUGCUACAGGAAGGCAGGGAGGGAUUUAAAUGAGAGACUGGAAGAGACCCUCCAUAAACCUCAGCCAGAGCAGCCCUGACUCACAGUGCUGUCACUGGCUAUGCCGUCAUCCUUACCUUGUCCACCUAGAGUGUUCAUCACGAGCUGUUUUUGCCCACUUAUCCCCCAGUCACUGCCCACUUUGAUACCACUGCUCCUAAGGCCACUAAAGCUGCCUCACUGCGUGACCUUGCUCUGAUUUCUCCAACUUCUCUUGGUGCGGAAGUUUCCUGAGAAGGACAUACCUGAGAAGCAUCCACCAGAACUGUACUCACACCACCCAACUGAUCUGGACCUUCUGGAGAGGCAAAGGGCCUGCUCUAACCUGAGAAGUGGAGGAGAUUUUGUCUUCUUUACACUGAGGAGUUUUAAUCCUAGAGCCAAUGUUAUUUAAUUCCAGUUGUGAUCACUUCUAUGAAGGCUAUUUUGAGGACCUGUCACAGGCAAGUGUGUGUGCCUUAAACGGGGUGUUGGGUUAUUUUUGUUCUUUGUAUCAUGAUUCUCUAUACUUACAUAUAAGUUAUAAUUAUUUUUUUGCCAUCUAUUCAAUACUUAAUCAAUGUUUUAAAAAUACUCAAUUGACACUUCAGGAGAGUUUUUAAGUGUUAUUCAUGUGGGUUCAGGUUCAGCUCUAGCACUUAGCAGCUGUGUGAUUUUGGGCAAGUUACUUAACCUCC